UACCAGCUGGGAUAAUUGUUGUGGGUUUAAUGCCAUUGAAUUCUGGUGCAACUGAGGAGAUGAAGCCAAUUGCUGCUGCAAAAGAACCUGUGACUGCCUCUGGUGCUGUUGAAGNNNAUUGGUAAGGCAGGACCAGAAAUUGCUGGCAUUUGCUUCAACCAUUGCUGCUGUGACAAAGAGUUCUGCAUCAUAGCUGGUUGUGCAUUCUGAGCCAGACUAGAUAGCUGAGGGCUCA
rnacentral:misc_RNA from 1 species